CCUACGGGUGGCAGCAGUCGAGAAUCAUUCACAAUGGGGGAAACCCUGAUGGUGCGACGCCGCGUGAGGGAAUGAAGGUCUUCGGAUUGUAAACCCCUGUCAUGUGGGAGCAAAUUAAAAAGAUAGUACCACAAGAGGAAGAGACGGCUAACUCUGUGCCAGCAGCCGCGGUAAUCCAGAGGUCUCAAGCGGUGUUCGGAAUCACUGGGCGUAAAGCGUGCGUAGGCUGUUUCGUAAGUCGUGUGUGAAAGGCGCGGGCUCAACCCGCGGACGGCACAUGAUACUGCGAGACUAGAGUAAUGGAGGGGGAACCGGAAUUCUCGGUGUAGCAGUGAAAUGCGUAGAUAUCGAGAGGAACACUCGUGGCGAAGACGGGUUCCUGGACAUUAACUGACGCUGAGGCACGAUGGCCAGGGGAGCGAAAGGGAUUAGAUACCCGGGUAGUC
rnacentral:rRNA from 1 species